rnacentral:lncRNA from 1 species
GUCGCUCACGAGGUCGCGCCUCGCACCCGCCUUCCUCCUUUUCUUUUACCCUCCCCUUCAGAAAAAACGGCGGUUGGGCUGCGACGGCCGCCAAAGGCGGACUAGAAGCGGAGGGGUGAAAAUCCCGGCAGAGAAGGAAGAAGGGACUGCAGGCGGGAGGAGGAGGAGGAUAAGGAGGAAGGGAGCCCGCCCAGCCGGAGCCAUCUCCGUCGAGAACAAAAUGGCGGCGCUGGCGGAGGGCCAACUAUAAGGCGGGGCCGCGGCCAUUCCCCCUCCACCCCCACCCUUGCGCCGGCCGGGCCGGUCAGGGGGAACCCGCUCGCUUCGCCCGGCCGCGGGCGGGGAGGGGAGGGGAGCGGCCCGGCCCACUAUGCAAAGCGCCGGGCGCCGCCGCCGCCACCCCGUGGCAAAGAAUAUGCUUUUUGUCUAAUGAUGUUAGAUAAAAAGCAAAUUUGGAGCAGUUUUCUUAUUCGAGUUCAAAAUGGUUCAUAAAGCAGCGAAGACAACUCAAAACAUCAGUAACACAUUUGGCCCAGGAACUGCUAACAAACAUACAGUGCAGUGGUGGCUUAAGAAGUUUUGCAAGGAAGAGAGCCUUGAAGAUGAGGAACGUGAUAUGGGCCAUGGGAAGUUGACAACGACCAAUUGAGAGCAAUCAUUGAACUACAUGAAAAAUUACAGAAGAACUCAGCGUUGACUAUUCUACGGUCAUUAGGGUCGUUCAGCAUUCGAAGCAAAUUGGAAAGGUGAAAAAGCUUGAUAAGUGGGUGCCUCAUGAGCUGAGCGGAAAUCAAAACUAUCGUUUUGAAGUGUAGUCUUCUUUUAUGCUACGCAACAACAAACCAUUUCUCAAUCGGAUUGUGACAUGUAAUGAAAAGUGAAUUUUAUACAACAACCAGCUCAGUGGUUGGACCAAGAGGCAGCUCCAAAGCAGUUCCCAAAGCCAAACUUGCACCAAAAAAAAGGUCAUGGUCACUGUUCGGUGGUCUGCUGCCCAUCUGAUCCACUACAGUUUUCUGAAUCCUGGUGAAACCAUUACAUCUGAGAAGUAUGCUCAGCAAAUUGGUAAGAUGCACCGAAAACUGCAAUACCUGCUGCCUGCAUUGGUCAACAGAAAGGGCCCAAUUCUUCUCCACGACAACACCUGACUGCGUGUCGCACAACCAGUGCUUCAAAAGUUGAAGGAAUUGGGCUACAAAGUUUUGCCUCAUCCACCAUAUUCACCUGACCUUUCGCCAACUGACUACCACUUCUGCUAGCAUCUUGACAACUUUUUGCAGGGAAAACACUUCAGCAUGGUGCAGAAAAUGCUUUCCAAGAGUUCGUCAAAUCCUGAAGCACGGAUUUUUAUGCUACAGGAAUAAACAAACAUUUCUCAUUGGCAAAAAUGUGUUGAUUGUAAUGGUUCCUGUUUUGAUUAAUAGAAUAUGUUUUAGCGUAGUUACAAUGAUUUAAAAUUCGCAGUCUGGAAAUUUAAUUUUUGCAUCAACCUAAUAUUUCUAUGGUAAAUCCUUGCAAACAUGGAAACAAUGCAUUUGGCCCAGUGCUUUGUGGUUGUGUACUCUUUUUCUUUGUUUUUUUAAUAGAUGGCAUUGGCCGGGCAUGGUGGCUCAUGCCUGUAAUCCCAGCAUUUUGGGAAGGUGAGGUGGGUGGAUCACCUGAGGUCAGGAGUUCAAGACCAGCCUGACUAACAUGGUAAAACCCCAUCUCUACUAAAAAUACAAAAAAAUUAGCUAGGCGGGGUGGCGGGCAUCUAAUUCCAGCUACUUCAUGAGGCUGCGACAGGAGAAUCAUUUGAACUCGGGAGGCAGAGGUUGCAGUGAGCCGAGAUCACACCAUUGCACUCCAGCCUGGGCGAUGAGCGAAACUGUCUCAAAAAAAAAAAAAGUUGGGGUCUCGCUGUGUUGACCAGGCUGGUCUCGAACUCCUGGCCUCAAGUGAUCCUCCCAUCUUGGCCUCCCAAAGUGUUAGGAUUACAGGCGUGAGCCACCACACCCUGCCUGGUUGUGUACUCUUUUAAAUACUAAGUUUUUAAUGUUAAAUGCUGCUUUUAGAUACACUGUAAAAAUACACCUAUCAAUGAGUUUUUUUAUUAAAAACAUUGCAAUUGUACUAGACUUUAAAUACUAAGCAAUAAUUCAGGCUUCAAUGUUGGUUUAUAGUUUUCUCAUUUCUUUCAUUUAAUACCUCUGUAAAAUGAAGCAGUUACUUCCAUUUUCCUGAGGUGAGAUAAGUGCCCUGCACAAUGUUAUAGGCCCAGUAAGUGAGACUGGAGCUCUGAUCUAAUCCCUUUGACAUUAAAGUUUGUGCAGUAAACCAGCUAUGUCAGUUUGCCACAUUUGUAAUAGUGUUCAAUAAAUUUUCACUUAAAGGUUUAAUAUUAAAGUAGUAGCAAGAAUUCAUAACCUUAAUUGGCUUUAACAGCUUUUCUUUCCCUGAAAACAGAUGCAUAUGUACACAUGCACACAGAUUGCUUACAAUAUCAGCACGUAAAAGGCCUUUGCACAUUGAAGUCGGCACUGCUUUGGUGCCUUUUUUGUUUUUUGGCUCGGUGUUUUGACUGCAAGUCUUUUUGGAUAGAAUUUUAUAGUUAGAAAGUAGCUAACACUUGGGUUUUAUAGGCACAAAAAACAAGUCUUAUACUAGCUGUACUUUAUUUUUUGAGUUCUUAUUAAUGAGGAACAUCCACUUUUGCAUUGACAGUGAUUUCAAGAUUGCUUUAUCAGCCUUUAAAGGAUUCUUGACUAGUCGUGCACAUCAGAACUGCCAGGUCCCCAGUGGUUCUGAAGCAGUAAGCUUUGGGUGGGCUCUGGCAUCAGCACUUUCACUAAGCUUCACAGAUAAUUCUGAUGCAUACUCCAGGCCUGAACCACUGAUCAAUUUGAAACAUGCAUAACAAAGCAAAAAAAGUUUUGUUUCACCUUUUGAAAUACAGUUAACUCUUUUACCAUGCCAGAGAUCAUUCAGAGAGACAGGUCGUUGCUCCGGAGUGAUACAGAUCUGGCAGUACCCAGCCCUUGUGUGUGUGCGUUAGCUCAGCACCUGCCCACACUGCGAGCCCCCGUAGGAUGUGCCUUGUCCUUCCCUGUUUCAGCACUUAACACACUACCUGCCCCU